rnacentral:rRNA from 1 species
UGGGGAAUAUUGGACAAUGGGGGGAACCCUGAUCCAGCCAUGCCGCGUGUGUGAAGAAGGCCUUAUGGUUGUAAAGCACUUUAAGCGAGGAGGAGGGUACUGGUAUUAAUACUACCAGGUCCUGGACGUUACUCGCAGAAUAAGCACCGGCUAACUCUGUGCCAGCAGCCGCGGUAAUACAGAGGGUGCGAGCGUUAAUCGGAUUUACUGGGCGUAAAGCGUGCGUAGGCGGCUAAUUGAGUCGGAUGUGAAAUCCCCGAGCUUAACUUGGGAAUUGCAUUCGAUACUGGUUAGCUAGAGUGUGGGAGAGGAUGGUAGAAUUCCAGGUGUAGCGGUGAAAUGCGUAGAGAUCUGGAGGAAUACCGAUGGCGAAGGCAGCCAUCUGGCCUAACACUGACGCUGAGGUACGAAAGCAUGGGGAGCAAACAGG